rnacentral:lncRNA from 1 species
CGUCCCUGAGCGUCGCCAGCAAGUGAGGCCGUGAGGUGCCCGGGCUAACUAUUCUCAUUCUUAGCACGAAUGCCCUCCACGUGGUCCAAGCAUCUCUACGAGGUCAUGGUCCACACCGAUUUAGCCAUCUUGAGAGGGCAUGGUCAUCACCAAUCUUGCCAUCCAUGUCCACUGUGAUGGACUGGAUCCUUGCGCCAAGCACAAUCUACGCCCCUGAGUGUCGCCAGCAAGUGAGGAGGUGAGAUGCCGGGGCUAACAAUCAUCGCAUCUAGCCACUC